rnacentral:hammerhead_ribozyme from 1 species
AUACAGUGACGAGUCCCAAACAGGACGAAACCCGCGUUAUCCUGGAU